CAGUGUCCAUCUGGUCACGCAUGUCCGUAUGGCAGUGUCCAACCUGCCAUCUGUCUGCCUGGUACUUAUCAGCCUCUGCCAUCCCAGGCUUCCUGUCAACCUUGCCCACCAGGUUUUUACUGUUUGGCGGCUUGUACCACUCCACUUCCUUGCCCUGCGGGCACUGCGAGUAUGAUUGAGGGCUUGCAGUCUCAGCUGGAUUGCUCUCCAUGUCCUCCCGGAUUCUACUGUAACACCAGCGGGCUAAUCAGCCCCACCGGACCCUGCUCUGCAGGCCAUUUCUGUUCAUCUGGAGCCACAGAGCCUGCCCCAGUCUCUCAGAUGUAUGGAGAUAUAUGUCCAGCAGGACAUUACUGCCCUGAGCAGAGCAGUGCUCCGUUACCCUGUCCAGUCGGCUUCAUUCUCCAGGACAAAGGGGCAACUUCUUUUAAUGACUGCUCA